rnacentral:rRNA from 1 species
CAGUAGCCGCGGGAAAACCAGCACCUCGAGUGGUCAGGAGGUUUAUUGGGCCUAAAGCAUCCGUAGCCGGUUGCAUAAGUUUUCGGUUAAAUCUAUGCGCUUAACGUAUAGGCCGCCGAAAAUACUGUGCAGCUAGGGAGUGGGAGAGGUACACGGUACUCGAUAGGAAGGGGUAAAAUCCUUUGAUCUAUUGAUGACCACCUGUGGCGAAGACGGUGUACCAGAACACGUUCGACGGUGAGGGAUGAAAGCUGGGGGAGCAAACCGGAUUAGAGACCCCGGUAGUCCCUGUCUCUUAUAC